AUUUAAAAUGACUCUCGGCAACGGAUAUCUCGGCUCUUGCAUCGAUGAAGAACGUAGCGAAAUGCGAUACUUGGUGUGAAUUGCAGAAUCCCGUGAACCAUCGAGUCUUUGAACGCAAGUUGCGCCCGAAGCCACUAGGUUGAGGGCACGCCUGCCUGGGUGUCACAC
rnacentral:rRNA from 1 species